UACAGAGGGUGCGAGCGUUAAUCGGAAUUACUGGGCGUAAAGGGCGCGUAGGCGGUUAUGCUAGUGUGAUGUGAAAGCCCUGGGCUUAACCUGGGAAGUGCAUCGCAAACGACAUAGCUGGAGUAUAAGAGAGGGUGGCGGAAUUUCCGGUGUAGCGGUGAAAUGCGUAGAGAUCGGAAAGAACGUCGAUGGCGAAGGCAGCCACCUGGCUUAAUACUGACGCUGAGGCGCGAAAGCGUGGGUAGCGAACAGG
rnacentral:rRNA from 1 species